AUUGAACGCUGGCGGCAUGCCUUACACAUGCAAGUCGAACGGCAGCACGGGUGCUUGCACCUGGUGGCGAGUGGCGAACGGGUGAGUAAUACAUCGGAACAUGUCCUGUAGUGGGGGAUAGCCCGGCGAAAGCCGGAUUAAUACCGCAUACGAUCUACGGAUGAAAGCGGGGGCCCUUCGGGCCUCGCGCUAUAGGGUUGGCCGAUGGCUGAUUAGCUAGUUGGUGGGGUAAAGGCCUACCAAGGCGACGAUCAGUAGCUGGUCUGAGAGGACGACCAGCCACACUGGGACUGAGACACGGCCCAGACUCCUACGGGAGGCAGCAGUGGGGAAUUUUGGACAAUGGGCGAAAGCCUGAUCCAGCAAUGCCGCGUGUGUGAAGAAGGCCUUCGGGUUGUAAAGCACUGUUGUCCGGAAAGAAAUCCUUGGCCCUAAUACGGUCGGGGGAUGACGGUACCGGAAGAAUAAGCACCGGCUAACUACGUG
rnacentral:rRNA from 1 species